rnacentral:rRNA from 1 species
AAUAGAUACCCCGGUAGUCCACGCCGUAAACGUUGGGCGCUAGAUGUGGGGGCCAUUCCACGGUUUCCGCGUCGUAGCUAACGCAUUAAGCGCCCCGCCUGGGGAGUACGGCCGCAAGGCUAAAACUCAAAGGAAUUGACGGGGGCCCGCACAAGCGGCGGAGCAUGCGGAUUAAUUCGAUGCAACGCGAAGAACCUUACCAAGGCUUGACAUAUACGAGAACACUGCAGAAAUGUAGGACUCUUUGGACACUCGUAUACAGGCGGUGCAUGGUUGUCGUCAGCUCGUGUCGUGAGAUGUUGGGUUAAGUCCCGCAACGAGCGCAACCCUCGUCGCAUGUUGCCAGCACGUAAAGGUGGGAACUCAUGUGAGACUGCCGGGGUCAACUCGGAGGAAGGUGGGGAUGACGUCAAAUCAUCAUGCCCCUUAUGUCUUGGGCUUCACGCAUGCUACAAUGGCCGGUACAAAGGGCUGCAAUACCGUAAGGUGGAGCGAAUCCCAAAAAGCCGGUCUCAGUUCGGA